rnacentral:rRNA from 1 species
GAUGAACGCUGGCGGCGUGCCUAAUACAUGCAAGUCGAGCGAACAGAUGAGGAGCUUGCUCCUCUGACGUUAGCGGCGGACGGGUGAGUAACACGUGGAUAACCUACCUAUAAGACUGGGAUCACUUCGGGAAACCGGAGCUAAUACCGCAUAAUAUAUUGAACCGCAUGGUUCAAUAGUGAAAGACGGCUUUGCUGUCACUUAUAGAUGGAUCCGCGCCGCAUUAGCUAGUUGGUAAGGUAACGGCUUACCAAGGCAACGAUGCGUAGCCGACCUGAGAGGGUGAUCGGCCACACUGGAACUGAGACACGGUCCAGACUCCUACGGGAGGCAGCAGUAGGGAAUCUUCCGCAAUGGGCGAAAGCUUGACGGAGCAACGCCGCGUGAGUGAUGAAGGUCUUCGGAUCGUAAAACUCUGUUAUUAGGGAAGAACAAAUGUGUAAGUAACUAUGCACGUCUUGACGGUACCUAAUCAGAAAGCCACGGCUAACUACGUG